rnacentral:rRNA from 1 species
AGCAGCAGCCACGGUAAUACGGAGGAUCCAAGCGUUAUCCGGAAUCAUCGGGUUUAAAGGGUCCGUAGGCGGUCUUGUAAGUCAGUGGUGAAAGCCCAUCGCUCAACGGUGGAACGGCCAUUGAUACUGCAGGACUUGAAUUAUUGGGAAGUAACUAGAAUAUGUAGUGUAGCGGUGAAAUGCUUAGAGAUUACAUGGAAUACCAAUUGCGAAGGCAGGUUACUACCAAUUGAUUGACGCUGAUGGACGAAAGCGUGGGUAGCGAACAGGAUUAGAUACCCCAGUAGUCCCUGUCUCUUAUAC